GACGAACGCUGGCGGCGUGCUUAACACAUGCAAGUCGAACGGAAAGGCCCUUCGGGGUACUCGAGUGGCGGACGGGUGAGUAACACGUGGGUGAUCUGCCCUGCACUUUGGGAUAAGCCUGGGAAACUGGGUCUAAUACCGAAUAGGACCACGCGCUUCAUGGUGUGUGGUGGAAAGCUUUUGCGGUGUGGGAUGGGCCCGCGGCCUAUCAGCUUGUUGGUGGGGUAAUGGCCUACCAAGGCGACGACGGGUAGCCGGCCUGAGAGGGUGACCGGCCACACUGGGACUGAGAUACGGCCCAGACUCCUACGGGAGGCAGCAGUGGGGAAUAUUGCACAAUGGGCGCAAGCCUGAUGCAGCGACGCCGCGUGAGGGAUGACGGCCUUCGGGUUGUAAACCUCUUUCAAUAGGGACGAAGCGCAAGUGACGGUACCUAUAGAAGAAGCACCGGCCAACUACGUG
rnacentral:rRNA from 1 species